GAACCAAGCGAGGAGGAAUGAAGGGGUGCGCACUGUGCUUGUUUAGUUCUUAUUGCUUGAGUCUUGGUUGCGGAAAAAGUUGGUUGCUUGGAGUUUGAAGGUGUCAAUGUUCGUGGUCCUUUGGAUGUCUUUGGAUGUCGGAGGGUAGUGAGCUUUUUGUAUCACUAUAGUGUCACUGAUCUCCGUAGAGAUCAGUGUCCCCCAUAUUUGUGUUGGAGCUGCAGGAAUGCACAAGUCUUGUUGGUUAUGGAUGAUGUAGCAGUUGACCCGUCUUUCACUUCGUAUGAUCAAAACCUACUCUUUUGUGGUUUCCUCAUUUUGGUCAUUCCGGUGGCAGCAUUUUUCUACUUUCUCAACUGGAUGGGUAUCAAGCUCUUCAAACACAACUAGCUUCAAGUAAUAUUCUGGUGGCUUAAGUUUCAUCAUCAUCGCUACUCGCUAGGAUAUAUAUAUCAUAUGACCCUCGUCCAGAAAUUUGUCAAUCGUUUCUGGCACAGCCUGAGAUAAAGCAGCGGCGACAUCUACAUCACAAUUUUGUCCUAGUUGAAUCCCUCUACGUUGAAACAUCGACAUUGAUUAGCUUUCUGUUUCAGUGUGUCCCAUCUAUCGAAAAUUUGGUUGGAUCUGCAGGAAUUCACAUUUGUUCUACAUGAAAACACUUAGAACACCGCCCUUUGCUGGUUAUGGAUGAUGUAGUAGUUGACCCGUCUUUCAAUGCGUAUGAUCAAAACCUACUCUUUUUUGGUUUCCUCAUUUCAUUGGUCAUGCCGGUGGCAGCAUUUUUCUACUUUCUCAACUGGAUGGGUAUCAAGUUCUUUAAACACAACUAGCUUCAAGUAAUAUUCUGGUGGCUUAAGUUUCAUCAUUACUACUAGGAGUGCUGAUGCAUCAUCAUCAUUGUAGGUCAUCGCUAGGAUAUAUGUCAUGACCCUUGUCCGGAAAUUUGUCAAUCGUUUCUGGCACAUCCUUUUGCAGCGGCGACAUCUACAUCAAAAUUUUGUCCUAGUUGAAUCCCUC